rnacentral:misc_RNA from 1 species
AACUUUUAACAACGGAUCACUUGUCUCUCGCAUCGAUGAAGAACGCAGCGAAAUGCGAUACGUAAUGUGAAUUGCAGAAUUCAGUGAAUCAUCGAAUCUUUGAACGCAUAUUGCUCGCUCUGGUAUUCCGGAGAGCAUGCUUGUUUGAGUAUCAGUAAACACCUCAAAUCCCUCUACUUGUUGGAGGAAUUUGGACUUGAGAAAUCCCAACUUUUGGACAGAGCAGGCGGGUUGCUUGACGUGCAGGAGCAGCUAGAUUCUUUCUUCUGAGAUAUAAGCAUACUUAUUUAACCCCGUGACAAGGAUUAUUAAUUUUGCUGAAGCUAACUCAAAGGUUGAAGAGUCGCUAUGGCUGAAUGAUGCCGGAUUUAACACGUCGAGCCAGCGAUCUGCAAAAUCGAUCUAAAAUCAAGCAAGACCACCCGCUGAACUUAAGCAUAUCAAUAAGCGGAGGCU